GGGCUGCUUGUGGGCUUGAGAAUUCAUCAUGCAUUAUGGACGCAGAUUUCUGGGUUCCAUCCUAGACGUCAGGAGUUGGCACCCGGGGCCCAGGGAAGUUUGAGGGGUGCCGAGGUGGAGGGAUGAGGUCACACGGGGAGGUCCCACCAAUAGGAGACCUUGAACAUGGGAUGGCUGCCAUAGCAACAUGACUUCCACCUGGAAGGCAUCAAGGAGGGAGCUGGGCUCUGUUGCGGGGUUUACCUGAUAAGUUUUUAAAAACCUCAAUGUCCCAGACCAAUCGAUCAGUAUCCUUAGAAGGGGCACCCAGAGCUGAGAACCUCUGAUUUGUCAGGAACUUCUGCCCAGUGUCCUGUGUAGAGUAUAAUGAGCUCUCUUUUCUUACAGUGAACUGGUGAGGAUCCAUAUGCAAAAAUGUAUAAUUAAGCCAGAAAGGACAUCCAGCUACUGCCCUGCUGAGUUUAUACACUGGCGACAGCUCCCCGCACCAGGAAAUUCAUGGUACUUAAGAAAACAAAAGUGUCCGUCUGGUCUUCAAAGCCCGAAUGGUGAGGCUGGAGAAACCCAGGCUCUGGAGAGCCAAUGACCAUCUCUAGGACAUGCUGUGGCUCAAAGGACUCGAGGUUCUAACGGCAGUUUUGCAAGAGCCUUCAAGCGAAGUUCAAGUGAAG